GGGUAUGUCGGUAGACCCCAUUUAAAGGUGUAUUGUAAAACAGUAUUGCUAUUGGGCAUUAGCAGUGUCUAACACCUUCUAUAAGUGAUGUCCCACAAUUAGUUAGUGAUAUUUCUUAAAAGUUAUUUUUAUUAAUUAUAUGAGAUUCAAUAUUUAUUUACACUAAUAAUAGUUAACAAUGGAGAAAUACUAAAGGGCACUAGUGGUGUUUAGCACUUUCUUAUGUGUCAGUAUCGCUAUUGGUCCAAUUAAGUAUCGGGUCUCACAUAGUUCAAUAUAAUAGUUUUUAGGGAGUAUUAUUAGUCAACCACAACAUGACAUGUCGAGAAGAUACUAGACAUCACUGGUACCUAAUAACAAUACUCUUAAUAAUAGUAUAACAUCAAAAAUAAUACUAAUACCCUUUAACAAUUCUCAUUAUAAAAUCACCCAAUAACUUUUGUAGGAGUUACCAAAUAUUUUUACCACAAAUAUCUAUAUACAUAUAACUUUAGAGAGUGGAUAAACUUAAACACAUUUGCAUUAUUAUUAUUAUUAUUAUUAUUAUUAUUAUUAUUAGCUGUACACAUUUAUUAUGCUAAUUAAUUAUCUCUGCCACCCUUACCUUACCCUGAUUUUAUUAUGACUCUUCCAGUCUUUCUUUCUCUGCUUUUUUCUGCACACACACACACACAAAGAAAAAAAAAACUUCUAAUCUUUUUUAUUUUAUUAUUAAUAAUUUCUUCAUAAAUUACAAUUAUUACACAAGUAAAAAAAAAUAUUUAUUUCUAUUUUUAAUUUUUUUAGAUAGUGAUGGUCCAUGGAUAGAUAAAUAGUAGUGCAAAAACUCACACAGAGAAACUCAGUAAAGUAUUGGACUCAAUGAAUGAUUGAAAUGAGAGAAUUGGUUAGUUUUUUUUUUCUUCUUCUUUCUUAUUAUAUAUUUUUUUUUUUUGACUGUAAAAAAAAAGUGUAAAGAAAGAAAAAAGAUGAAUGGGAUUGAUUCGUGAAGAACUGCUUCAAGGGAUUGGUGGAAGUGCUCAAAAUUGCGGACCCCCUUCCCAGGCUAUAGGGAAAAAGGUCGAUGCUUUUCACUUCAGGAGAUGCGACCAAUGCGGAGCUAUCUCAACUGUCUCCUUGAUUUUCGGAGGUAGUUGAAAUCUGAUUUUUAUGAUAAUAUCCUGUUAUUUUUCGUGGGUUUAUAACUAUCUUUGAGCUUCUUGUGGGAUUUGAACAUUUGAUAACUAGUCAUUGACGAUGAGCGUCUCCCAAGGUGUGACACGGUCGUUGACCACCUUCGGGAAUAGAAGCUAACACUUGGGGGUGACACCCCUGAGACCCAACCUGAGGGGGGCGUCAAUUGUCAUCUCGGGGUGACCCCCCGAGACCCCUUGUAUGUUGUGGGUAGUCAUAGUGUUGUGUGAAUAAUGUCCUCAUUUACCUUUGAGAAUGUCCUUAAAUCUAUGGUGGGGGUAGUUUCAUCUACCCCCAUAGACUAACUUGGCAUGUAGGUGUGUGGUGAUUGUUCAUUGUUAGUCCAUCGUUUUUUAUUCUUGGAGACGCCCACCUUACUCAAGCUAGGGGUAAAGGUAACUGUCUGACUUCUAUUCUAAUAGUCAUGAUCACCGUAUAACGGUCACCCCAACAGUCAUGACUUUACAUAUUCUCCAUUAAUUCAGUAUCGAUAUUUUCGUACCACGUGUCAUUACUCUUGCCACAUCAUCAUUAAAUUUGAGUAAACACUAAUAUA